GACGAACGCUGGCGGCAUGCCUAACACAUGCAAGUCGAACGGAGAUUAUUUCGGUAAUCUUAGUGGCGAACGGGUGAGUAACGCGUAGGCAACCUGCCCUCUAGAUGGGGACAACAUCCCGAAAGGGGUGCUAAUACCGAAUGUGACAGCAAUCUCGCAUGAGGAUGCUGUGAAAGAUGGCCUCUAUUUAUAAGCUAUCGCUAGAGGAUGGGCCUGCGUCUGAUUAGCUAGUUGGUGGGGUAACGGCCUACCAAGGCGAUGAUCAGUAGCCGGUCUGAGAGGAUGAACGGCCACAUUGGGACUGAGACACGGCCCAGACUCCUACGGGAGGCAGCAGUGGGGAAUCUUCCGCAAUGGGCGAAAGCCUGACGGAGCAAUGCCGCGUGAGUGAUGAAGGAAUUCGUUCCGUAAAGCUCUUUUGUUUAUGACGAAUGUGCAGAUUGUGAACAAUGAUCUGUAAUGACGGUAGUAAACGAAUAAGCCACGGCUAACUACGUG
rnacentral:rRNA from 1 species